UACGGAGGGGGCAAGCGUUGUUCGGAUUUACUGGGCGUAAAGGGCGCGUAGGCGGUUUGGUAAGUUACUUGUGAAAUCUCUGGGCUUAACCCAGAACGGCCAAGUAAUACUGCCGAACUAGAGUGCAGAAGGGGCAACUGGAAUUCUUGGUGUAGCGGUGAAAUGCGUAGAUAUCAAGAGGAACACCUGAGGCGAAGGCGGGUUGCUGGGCUGACACUGACGCUGAGGCGCGAAAGCUAGGGGAGCAAACAGG
rnacentral:rRNA from 1 species